AUGGUGCCACAGCCCCAACUUCUCAUCUUCCUGGUGCUCUGGGUAUCAGGUGCCUGUGGGGACAUUGUGAUGACCCAGUCUCCAGAUACACUGGCUGUGUCGGUAGGAGAGAGGGUCACCAUCAGCUGCAAAUCUAGCCAGAGUCUUUUAUACAGUUACAACAAUAAAAACCUCUUAGCCUGGUACCAACAGAAAGCAGGACAGGCUCCUAAGCUGCUCAUCUACUGGGCAUCCACCCGGGCAUCUGGGGUCCCUGAUCGAUUCAGUGGCAGUGGGUCUGGGACCGAUUUCACUCUCACCAUCAGCAGCCUCCAGGCUGAAGAUGCGGCAGUUUAUUACUGUCAGCAGUAUUAUAGCACUCCUCCCACAGUGCUUCAGCCUCGAACACAAACCUCCUCUGUUGGUCUGCCUGUCAGAGAGUCUAAAGCACCUGCUGCUUCCUUGCCAGAGGGUAUCAGAUCUGCACACUUCCUCUAUCUGCCUGAGGGCCUGUGUAUUCUGACUCAUUCAAUGGGAAGGUUUUCAGGGCUAGAGAAGAGAAUUUAG